rnacentral:rRNA from 1 species
CCUACGGGCGGCUGCAGUGGGGAAUAUUGGACAAUGGGGGCAACCCUGAUCCAGCCAUGCCGCGUGUGUGAAGAAGGCCCUCGGGUUGUAAAGCACUUUCAGUGAGGAAGAACGCCUGGUGGUUAAUACCCAUCAGGAAAGACAUCACUCACAGAAGAAGCACCGGCUAACUCCGUGCCAGCAGCCGCGGUAAUACGGAGGGUGCGAGCGUUAAUCGGAAUUACUGGGCGUAAAGCGCGCGUAGGUGGCUUGAUAAGCCGGUUGUGAAAGCCCCGGGCUCAACCUGGGAACGGCAUCCGGAACUGUCAAGCUAGAGUGCAGGCGAGGAAGGUAGAAUUCCCGGUGUAGCGGUGAAAUGCGUAGAGAUCGGGAGGAAUACCAGUGGCGAAGGCGGCCUUCUGGACUGACACUGACACUGAGGUGCGAAAGCGUGGGUAGCAAACAGGAUUAGAUACCCUGGUAGUC